CAAUAGCGUAUAUUAAAGUUGUUGCGGUUAAAAAGCUCGUAGUUGGAUUUCUGCCGAGGACGACCGGUCCGCCCUCCGGGUGAGUAUCUGGCUCGGCCUGGGCAUCUUCUUGGAGAACGUAGCUGCACUUGGCUGUGUGGUGCGGUAUUCAGGACUUUUACUUUGAGGAAAUUAGAGUGUUUCAAGCAGGCAUACGCCUUGAAUACAUUAGCAUGGAAUAAUAAGAUAGGACCUCGGUUCUAUUUUGUUGGUUUCUAGAUCUGAGGUAAUGAUUAAUAGGGAUAGUUGGGGGCAUUCGUAUUUAACUGUCAGAGGUGAAGUUCUUGGAUUUGUUAAAGACGGACUACUGCGAAAGCAUUUGCCAAGGAUGUUUUCAUUGA
rnacentral:rRNA from 1 species